AGGUCACCUCUCUCCUGACAUUCACGAGGAACAUAAGAUCUAUCAGAAUGGCAUGUUCUGAAAAAUGGAGCUUAAAGAAGGAAAAGAAAAUUACACCAUGAAAGGGGAACUUCAAGUUCAAUCUACAAGUAUCCUGCUUUCCUGCAAAUGCAAUAGCCAGAGAAGUCCAUUGUCCUGCUCUCCCCACAAGAGACAGAAGUCCAGGAGAGGGAUUACUAAGAACAUCCCUUCGGGAUCCACCUAUAACUCAGGCCAUGGCUUUGCCUCCCUGGUCUGUUCACAAGGAUGAAUAAAUGUGGCAAGUCA
rnacentral:lncRNA from 1 species